rnacentral:rRNA from 1 species
GACGAACGCUGGCGGCGUGCUUAACACAUGCAAGUCGAACGGAAAGGCCCUGCUUUUGUGGGGUGCUCGAGUGGCGAACGGGUGAGUAACACGUGAGUAACCUGCCCUUGACUUUGGGAUAACUUCAGGAAACUGGGGCUAAUACCGGAUAGGAGCUCCUGCUGCAUGGUGGGGGUUGGAAAGUUUCGGCGGUUGGGGAUGGACUCGCGGCUUAUCAGCUUGUUGGUGGGGUAGUGGCUUACCAAGGCUUUGACGGGUAGCCGGCCUGAGAGGGUGACCGGCCACAUUGGGACUGAGAUACGGCCCAGACUCCUACGGGAGGCAGCAGUGGGGAAUAUUGCACAAUGGGCGGAAGCCUGAUGCAGCAACGCCGCGUGCGGGAUGACGGCCUUCGGGUUGUAAACCGCUUUCGCCUGUGACGAAGCGUGAGUGACGGUAAUGGGUAAAGAAGCACCGGCUAACUACGUGCCAGCAGCCGCGGUGAUACGUAGGGUGCGAGCGUUGUCCGGAUUUAUUGGGCGUAAAGGGCUCGUAGGUGGUUGAUCGCGUCGGAAGUGUAAUCUUGGGGCUUAACCCUGAGCGUGCUUUCGAUACGGGUUGACUUGAGGAAGGUAGGGGAGAAUGGAAUUCCUGGUGGAGCGGUGGAAUGCGCAGAUAUCAGGAGGAACACCAGUGGCGAAGGCGGUUCUCUGGGCCUUUCCUGACGCUGAGGAGCGAAAGCGUGGGGAGCGAACAGGCUUAGAUACCCUGGUAGUCCACGCUGUAAACGGUGGGUACUAGGUGUGGGGUCCAUUCCACGGGUUCCGUGCCGUAGCUAACGCUUUAAGUACCCCGCCUGGGGAGUACGGCCGCAAGGCUAAAACUCAAAGGAACUGACGGGGCCCCGCACAAGCGGCGGAGCAUGCGGAUUAAUUCGAUGCAACGCGUAGAACCUUACCUGGGUUUGACAUGGAUCGGGAGUGCUCAGAGAUGGGUGUGCCUCUUUUGGGGUCGGUUCACAGGUGGUGCAUGGCUGUCGUCAGCUCGUGUCGUGAGAUGUUGGGUUAAGUCCCGCAACGAGCGCAACCCUUGUUCACUGUUGCCAGCACGUUAUGGUGGGGACUCAGUGGAGACCGCCGGGGUCAACUCGGAGGAAGGUGGGGAUGACGUCAAGUCAUCAUGCCCCUUAUGUCCAGGGCUUCACGCAUGCUACAAUGGCUGGUACAGAGAGUGGCGAGCCUGUGAGGGUGAGCGAAUCUCGGAAAGUCGGUCUCAGUUCGGAUUGGGGUCUGCAACUCGACCUCAUGAAGUCGGAGUCGCUAGUAAUCGCAGAUCAGCAACGCUGCGGUGAAUACGUUCCCGGGGC